AUUUUAUUAAAUAAUAUUUCAAUACCGAAAGUAUUUGAUUUUAUUAUUAAUUGGGUUUAAAGCCCUUUAUUGAGCCGGGUAGGUUUAAAAUAAAUUAUUUUUACGUUGUGAUAAAUUAUUCGGUUAUACUUAUAUCUGUUUAACAACUUUACAUACUAUACUAGUAUUUAGGCAAAGAUGUCUAGAUAAAUUAAAUAUCAUCAUUAUUUUGUUACAAUUAAAGGGUUAAAGUUACCCACUACUUAUAAUUGUGUUAUAACUUUAUUUAUUAGUUUAUAUAUGAUUUUAUUAAUAAGUUGUUAUUUUUAAUUUUUAGUGUUUUAUUAUGAUUAUAUAAGUAAUAUUAGUACAAUCUGUGUGUCUCGUUAGCUGCCUGUCUGUUUAUUAAAAACAUUUCCACACGAAAUUUUGUGAGGUAGUACCUGCUCUAUGCGUUUUGUAAAUGGCCGCAGUAUCUUGACUGUGCGAAGGUAGCAUAAUUAAUUGCCUUAUAAUUGAAGGCUUGUUUGAAUGGUUUGACAAGGUAGUUUAUGACAUGGUUUGUGUUUUUGAACUUAAUUAUGGGGGCACAGAAUCCCCUUAAAAUUAAUUAGACGGAAAGACCCCGGGAUCUUUUAUUUUUGUCUGGGGCAGAUUAUAAUUAUUCAUUAAUAAAUUAGACCCUAAUGGUGCAUUGGUGUAAGUUACCCCGGGGAUAACAGUGUAAUAGUUUAUUAGAGAUCUUAUCGAAUAAAUUGCUUGCCACCUCGAUGUUGACUUAGGUUUAGACUUGGGCGCAGUAGUCUAAGUUUGUGGUCUG
rnacentral:rRNA from 1 species